CCUUUUCCUCCUUUCAUGGUUAUUUCUUGGCUUCCAAGUUAAUGGCAGCAUUCUUAUCUUCCAGAGACUUUUUUGCUUUCUGUCAUAUUGUGACCUUCUCCCCUUAUUAGUAAGCCAUUGAUGUGCAACAAACUAUCCCAAAACUUAAUAGCUUAACACAAUAACUCUUUAUUUAGCUCAUAAUUCUGUGAUUGGCAAUUUAGUCUAAGCUCAACUGAUGGUUCUUCUGGUCUUGGCUGUGUUCUCUUGUGUGUGAAAUCAACUGCAAAUCAGUUAUGUGUUUCUGUUUCAGAGGCUGGCUGGAUGUUGUCUAGGGUGAUAGGUGAGACUGCCACUUCUCUGUCAUGAUUCAGCAGGUCAGCCUGGGCUUACUCACAUGGCAUGCAUGGUUCUGAGAGAGAGAACAGAAUUGUACAAGGCUUCUUGAGGCCUAGGCUUGGAACUAGUACACCUUCACUUCUGCCAUGUUUGCUUGGCUGAAGCAAGUCAUAAAGGCAACCCAUAUUCAAGGAGUUGGAAAAUAGAGUCUACCUCUGUAUUAGAAGAGGGCGUGAAUUGUAAAAGGGUGUGAAUACCCAGAGGGACUAAAUGUGGCAAAUGUUGCAAAUAAUUACACACUCCAGGUGGAAUGCGUGCUCACAGAUGGGGUUAUAUUUCCUAGGAAUUGUUCAGAGAUUGAAUCCUGUAUUUCCAGAGUUUUCUUUAUUGAAUUUAGAAAAAUCUCAGGCCUUCCAAUCUCAGUUUUAAGGCUAGCACCCUGAACCAGAGCUUGCUUUAGAGCUUUGCCUGCAUUAUUUAGUAGUUUAGAUAUUUGUAAUAUCUUUUCUCAAUUUCUUAUUUAUUCAACUUUGGCAGCCUCUCAAAAAAGCAUAAGAAUUUUUUCUAACAGUCAUAUUAAGGAAAAACAGUCUCUCUCCUCAAAGGGGUAUUGAAAAUAAGUAGGUAUGCUUACUAUUGUAGGUGACUCACAAAGUUAUUUUCCUAAAAGUUGUUUAAUGAUAAACUAGAUGUUUAUUGUAUAAAUGUUGAAUUUCUCUAAUCUGGAUGUACUGCUUUCACACUUCUGUAAUAUUUUUAAACUUGAUUGCACAGACUGCAAUAUAACCAAGGACUUCCCCUCUGACUGAGGUCAGUAAGCUUCUUGGUAUCCCUGACCAAGAUCCUUUCAUGUUUUGUACUAGAUGACAUGACCAGAAGGGAAAGAGUUUAAAUUCAAUUUUAUAAAUGUAUAUGAUGUGUCCUUUUUUUCUGCAAAACACUGUAUUUUGUGCUUUUGGAGAAUAAAAAACCAAAACUAUCUCUGCCCCACGCUUAGUGGAGGAGACAAAAAAUUUGCAAGAAUAACUCCCAUCCAUGACAUAUAAUAAAUGCUAAAACAAAGAGCUGUGGAUCUACGGGUGAGGAAAAUAUGGAUUUUAAGAGGGAGAACAUGAGAAGUCAUUGAUGGAAGUGACAUUUGAAGGGGACCUUUGAAAGUCCAACACGACUUUGAAUUUUAGGUGGCCUUUAGCUUGCAUAUGUGCAUUAUUUGGCUAAAGAGUAUUUUAAAAUAUUGAAUUUGAGUGCUUUUAGAUGGGGUAAAUGCUUUCCAAGGCUCCGACCUCAUUCUACCAUUUUAUAUCAUUGCCAUUGUCAUUCCUUUAGAUUGUCUGCUUGGUCCUCACCACAUUUAGAUUUGUUCUUCACAUAUCAGAAGAAAGGCAGACAAUAUGCUUAGAUCACUUUGAACACCUAAUCAGAAGUAUCGGGGUGAUGUCUGAGUAAGGUGGACAACUUCUGUGUUGCUAUAACCUCUUCUAUUGACACUCAUUCUAAGAAUUCUAGGAAGUAGAACUGACAACAUCUUUCUAAAAUAUAUCUCAAUGAAAUGAAUCUUCCAUAAUAUAUUUAGCCUUAGUUGAUAUUUUGCUUUUGUUAUUGUUGCUUUGUUCAUAGAAAAUAUGUUGGUUUUUUUUUUGGUCUCAUUGCCUUUUUUUUUGGGGGGGGGUGAAUAUUUAAUUUUAUUACUCAAAUUAAUUGUUACCAAGUUUUUCCCAUCAGACUCAGUGCAAAAUUUUUGAAUAUCAAGUAGGUUUGUUGAUAUUCUCACUGGCUGAGAGUGAACAAUGUAGCUAGUAGCCUCAAAUUGUUUCAGUAGAUUUAAUAUUCAUUAAACUGCUCUAGCUAACCUGUUGGGAAUUAGUAUUAAAAGUAAUCCCAUUUGGUAAAUUAUAGUAUUGUACUUUUAGACUUCAAUUACAUUCAAGUUAUUAUGAAUAAAUCUUUAAAACUUAUAGAUGGCUUUUGAGGAUCUUGUCUUUUCCUAGUAGUUACAUGUGAUUUUAUUUUAUUUUACUUUUUUUUUUUUUUUAAAGGCAGGGUCUUAUUCUGCCACCCAGGCUGGAGGGCAGUGGUGCAAUCAUGCUCACUUCGGCCUAGAACUCCCAAGCUCAAGUGAUCCUCCUGCUUCAGCCUCCUGAGUAGGUGGGACUAUAGGCAUGUGCUGAUGUGCUCGGCUAAUUUUUUUAGUUUUUGUAGAGAAAAGGUCUCACUAUGUUGCCCAGGUUGGUCUCGAACUCCUGGGCUCAAGUGAUCCUCCUUUCUUGGCCUUCCAAAGUGCUGGGAUUACAAAUUUGAACCACUGCACCUGACCUACAUAUGUUUUUAAAUGCAGCAUUGAUGUUAAUAUUUGCUCUAGAAGUUUAUUUUCUGCAUCAUUACUCUCUGAGUAAUUUUAAAUUAUAACACAUAUUUAAAAUAGUAAGUAAUACUUUGGGCAAAUUUCAUAUCAUCUUUACUUAUAAACCCUUUAGUCUUUAAAUAUUUUUUUAAUAAAGAGAAUCAGUCAAAGUAAGAUAUUAAGAAAGUAGGGUUGAAUGGGCAGUUUUCUCUUGAAGUUAGCAAUUAUUUUUAUGAAUUUUGAACUUGAUUUUGGGUAACCAGAUAGCGAUAGUGCCAUAUCAUGCUAGUGCUUUCAUUGUGUGAGUUUCUUAUAAGUUUCUCUCAUAAGACUUGAAGAGUUAAAGAACUAGUACAACCUUAAGCCAAUUAGACUUUAUGUGACUAUUAAAGGAAAUGAAAGUAAAAUUACAGAAAGUUAAUAAUAAAAAGUACAAGUUUCCAUGCUAAGAGCUGUUAAGAUGCAAAACUAAGUAAGAUACAGCUUUUGCUCUCAAAGGCUUAUAGUGGCACCAGAAAUAAGAUAUGUACAUAGGCGAUAAUUAUCCAUUAUAAUCCAUUUACUCUCUGAUUUCCCUAGAUGAUAAUUUCACGACAUCUCUAUUCCAAAACUUCAACACCUCCUUCUCUAUCAUCCCUCUCUGAUCAUGAUACUGCUUUUAUUUCACUGAGGAAACCACAAGCAAUCACAAAUUUCCACCACCACAUCUGCCAAUGUACCUGUGUCUACUUUCCUUCCUGGUGCUUUAAAUGAACCUUUUAGGUUUGUAUCUAAGGCUAAUUCCUCUCUACUUGUUCAUUGGAUCCUAUCCUUUCUUGUCCACGUGGGAACUCUGACAAAUAUUUUCUGUCUUUAAUACCAUACGUUUUUUCUUUCUCAACUGUACCAUUUCCAUAAGGAUGCAAAGAUGUAAUAUUUCUCAUCUUUUAAAAACUCUCUUGAUCUCACAUUUCCUUCUCCUUACCAUCCCCUUUCUCUGACCCCUUUGUAGCAACGUAGUUAGAAAAGCUUGUUUUUACUCAUUGUAUCCAAUUUCUUUCCUCCAUUCUCUCUUGAGGCCACUCUAACUCCCUCACUUUUAAAAGUCCUUGUUUUUGCCUUUGUCAAGUUGUCUAAUGACUGACAUACUUUUAGAUCCAACAGUCAAUUCCUGCUUCUCCUCUUACUUGAUUCAUCAUCAGCACUGACAAAGUCAGUAUCUGUCUCUUCUUUGAACCACCGUUUUCUUUUGACCUCUGAGAUACGACUGUCUUUUGGUUUUCAUUUAGUUCACUGGUGACUUCUUGAAGAAGCUGGGGGAAGUAUGUUUGAUGCUGUAAGUUAGCCUGGGAAUCUCUGCUGCACGUGUCUAUUAUCUUCCUCCUGGGACUAGGCAGGGGGGCAUUGAUUGUGCAUAAGAGAGAAAGCUCAAUCAUGCAAGCACAGUUUGGGCCUCUGCUUGCAUCAUGUUGGUUACCAUCCAUUGGCUAAAUCAGGUCACAAAACCAAGCCUCAAAUAAAGAGGAAGAGAAAUAUACUCAACUCAUAUAAGUGGAAAGAAGUACAAAGUCAUACGGCAAAGAGCAUAUAAAAGGAGAGGCCAAUAAUGUAAUCUAUCGUGUCCCUAUUCCAUAGUUAACUGCCCUCAUCUUCUUGAUCUCUAAGCAUCGGAGUGUCCCAGGGCUUAGUACUCAAACAUCUUUUCAUCUCUGUCUAUACCUACUUCCUCAUUGACCUCAUCCAAUCUCUUGAGUUCCAAUAUCAUCUUUAUCUGACAAUUACCAAGUCUAUUUCUUCAUCUCAGACUCCACCCUAACUCUAAAUUUGUGUAUGUAAUUCCCUACUGGACAUAUCUAUCAGAUGACUAAUAGGCUUCUCAAACUCAGCAUUUCCAAAGCUGAAAAUCUAGCAUCUGUACCCCUUUCUUCAAAAAUUUGCAUAUCACCAAGUCUUUCCCAUUUUGUCAAAAGGCAGUGCCAUCCUUCUAGUUGUUUGGCCCAGAAUUUUACGGUUUCUUUCAGAUUUUACAUUCAGUUCUUCAGCAAAUCCUAUUGGUUCUGUGCUCAAAUUGUAUCCAGAAUUUCACUACUUUACAUUAUCUUCAAGAUUAACACCAUAGUCCAAGACCUAAUCAUCUCUUGCUUCCUGACUAGUUUUCCUCCGUUUUUUUUUUUUUUUUUUUUGGCUUCUGUAUUGUCUGCUUAGGUUGCCACAGCAAAAUAUUAUAGGCUGAGUGGCUUAAGCAACAGAAAUUUAUUUUCUCACAAUUCUGGAGGCUACAAAGUCCAAGAUCAAGUUCCGGCCAAUUCCAUUCCUGAGUGAGGGCUUUCUUCCUGGCUUGUUAGAUGGCUGCCUUCUUGUUAUAUCCUCACACGGCCUUUCUUCUGUGCGUGAAUGGAGAGAGAGUUCCCUGAUGUUUCCUCUUUCCCUUAUAAGGACACCAGUUCCAUUGGAUUAGGGCCACACCCUUAUGACCCAAUUUAACCUUAACUACUUCCAGAAAGGCCAUAUAUCCAAAUACAGUCACACUGGAGGUUAGGGCCUUAGCAUGUGAGUUUUGGGGCACACAGAUAUUCAAUCCAUAACAUAUUCCCUUCAGUCUAUUUUCAGUCAAACAGCCAGAAGUGAUCCCAUUCAGUCAGGUAAUUUCAUUUUCCUACUCAAAAACACUUCUAUUGGUUUUCCAUUUCACUCAGAGGAAAAGCCAGAGUCCUUAUAGUGUCUGAUAGGGUUUUAUAUUACUUAGUUUCACUGUCUCUCUAAAGCUACCACCUACUCUUCUUUGCCCUUCUUCACUUAGCUUCAUCCACAGUGACCUUGUUGUUCUUGUUGGAACACAUUAUGUACACUCCUACCUCCAGGCCUCUGCCUUACUAACCCUCAUGACUUUCUUCCCCCUUCUUUCCUCAGGUGUCUUCUCCAAUGUCACCUUAAUAGUGAGGCCUUCCUUUACUUACCUUACUCACUACCCAAGCAACUCCCUUUCUUUCACUUUUAACUGAACCCUGGCUUCCCUAUGAGGAUACCCUAGCCCCUCCUGACUUCUCAUGCCAUGCUACCAGGCACUAUGCUCCAGGAGGAAGAAAAUUUGUUUCCUGCUCCCAUGGAGUUAUAGACUAGUAGGGAUGACAGAAAAUAAGCACAUAAACAACAUAAAAAUGAUAAAUUGCAGUGAGUGCUAUAAUGGAAACAAACUGGGUGCUGUGAUUGAGACGGAAGGGUCAGAGAGGUCUCUCUUUGGAUGUGCUCCUUAAAUGAGGCUAACUUUCUAAGAGGCUAGCCUCAGAGGAGUAAGAGAUGAAGCCAUGAGAUAGAAGGGCUUACAAGAAACAGAAUGUAGGGAGACAGAAGAGGCUGAUUAAAGAAUAUUCAGGGAGUUUCUGGAAAAAGGUCUGUAAAGAAGCAGUUAAAAGAGGAAUGCCAAGACAGCACAAUUUCAUGUAAUCAAUUCAUUUAUCAUAUAUUUAUUGAGUGCCUACUAUGUGCCAGAGGAUAUAGCAGUAACAAAACUAGGCAAAAAUUGUGCCUAAAAGAGGGAAGAUGACUUUUCAUAAAGCGUGGAAUAAAGAAAAGUAAGAUAGCGGAUAGAAGCUUGAAGUGAAAGCAGGUUCACAGGAAGUUUCUUUGGUUGUUUGUUUUGUUUUUAAAUAGUGGAAAGGUGUGUAUGUUUAUGGAGAAAGAUUGCCUUGAAGAUGCAAGAGGCAGAGAUGAUCAAAAUUCAAGAAGCAGCAGAAAGUGAUAGAAUAAAGAGCACAAGUGGAGAAAUAAUGUUAAUGAAAAGAAGGGUGCUUCCUUUGAUAUGAAGUGAAGGAAGAGAGAAUGAGUAAAGACCAAGACUUGAAGUCCCUAGUUUAAUAGAGGGAGAUUUCUUCUUUUGAAUAGCAACAAUGGUAUUCUGAAUUAUUUGAAGACAUGUCAUAUUUCUCUUGUGCCAUUUUCCUCCCAGUUUAAACAUUCUUAUAACCUUUAUUCUUCACACGAUGUUUUUCUAGGUCCUUUAUUCUUUGGCACUCUCUUCUCUGGACACAUUGUAUUCUGUCAUUGGUCCUAAAAGUUAGAUACCCACAAUUGAACAUACUCCUCUAGAUAUGGUCUAGAUAAUGCAAAAGAGCUGCUGCCUUCCAACUUGUUCAGACAUCAUAUGUUUGUUGUCAAACACUAAGUUGAGUUGUUAUCUUUUGUUUUUUUUUUUUUUUUUUUUAAUUCCAAGAGGUGCCCACGUGGCUAAGUACCAAACAGGGUACUAGGGAAUUUUAUUUCUGAGUUAAAUGCCAUUCUAGUUGUUUUUUCUUCAUCUCCAGUAAGGUUAUCUUUAUUUACCAGUUGUUACAAUAGUUGUGGGUCUUGCUUCUCACAGUUUUAUGCUAUCUGUGCUAUUUUCUCUGCUGAUCGUCACCACAAUCAUUAUUGCUUAUCAUAAUUGUUAUCUUUAUUUUCUCCUUUAAUCAAGAAUCGGUCUUUAUCUCAUUAUUCUCUUUCGCAGGCUUCAGGAUAAUUAUGGUUGGAGUGCUAAAUUUGGAAGGGGAAACCAGUGCAGCUAAGCUCUGACAUCUUUGCAUCCCUUUUCCAUCUGCUGUUUUGGCACUCUGGUAGAAUAGAUAACCUAAAAACGACUUUAAAACAUCUAGAAAUUUUGGAUAAAAUAUAACAAACAUCCCUUUAAAUGCACAACUGAGCUUCCAUGGAAGUCACAGAAAUAUAUAACGCCAAAAAGAAGGGAAGCUGAAACCCAGGGCUGUAAACAUGAACGUCAUCUUCUCUCCCUUUUGCUUGCGACUUAUCUUGUUUUUCUCAGCUUUGGUGCUACCAAGGCUUGACUUUAACAGGCAUUUCCAAUCAAUGAGAGAAUUUCUUUUGCUUUCAUCAACAAUUCAGUUAUUGAUGUUAACAUAUAUAUCAUUUCAGUACUUUUCGCUCAGCUGUUUUCAUCACUGUGUUCAGAGGUUUGUCUUUUUUUUUUCCCCUAAAAGGUGCUGAGAUGUUAUGAGUGCUUUAUGUGUGGUUACUGGAUAAGUUUUGAAAUGUCACUGUGUUAUAAACUGCAUGAUUAUCGAUUUUGGAAAUUUUGUUUUUUUUAAAUGAUUAAUUUAAAUAAAAUGGAGAAUUUUGAUCCAUAAGAAAAGCAGGACUGAAAUCUCCAGGGAUGGGAGCCUUUGGGUUCACCUUGUUCAGUGUUGUUUCUUUGUAGACUUCCUACUUUCUUGUAAAAUGUUUUGGACUAAAUAUUUCACAAGAAUAGAAUUUUUCAAGGUCUGGCCGGUUAUGGGUUGUAGAUUUGGGGCAGAAUGCUGAGAUGUACAGAAUAGUGCUCAUUUGAGUGAGAAUAUUAGACAAUUAGACACGGACUCUGUCUAGGGUGUGAUAAGCCACAAGGCACUUGAUUUUUUUUUAAAUCUUACUUUACACCUUGGCAAAAUAUUCUUAAAUUUUUCUAAUCUCUGAUGAAAAGAAGGAAAUUAUUACAAAAUUAAUCUAUAUUUUGAAAAGUCCAUGGGUUUGACAUAUUUACAUUCUGUACACUAUGUGACAACAUUGUGAUAGCAGUAAAUAGUUCUUGGUACCAUUGUUUACCUUAGAAUUAUGAGACCAAUCCAUUCCAUUUGACAGUUCUCAUGUUCUCUUACCAAAGAAGCUAAUUACAGCAACCUUGAAUUUGUAAAAACAGAUUCAUUUUUACAGGCUAAAAAUAUGUUUAUCAUCUACUAACCUUUUCUGUUUUUAUUGAAGAAUUCUGUGUCUUCUUAUUGUAUGAAAACAUUAGUUCUACUUAACAUAGCAUUUUUAUCUUGGAAUAAUGUAAAGGAUAUACAUGUAUGUAAUUAAUAUUAACAUAAUUGAGGUUACUUUUAAAAUAGGUUUUCUAAUUGCUUUUUUAAUAGAAAUAUUAUUGAUAAUACUUGUCAUUACUUUAUAGUUUAAUAAAACACUUAAAAAAUCUUA
rnacentral:lncRNA from 1 species